rnacentral:rRNA from 1 species
CCUACGGGAGGCAGCAGUGGGGGAUAUUGCACAAUGGGGGAAACCCUGAUGCAGCGACGCCGCGUGUGGGAAGACGGUCCUCUGGAUUGUAAACCACUGUCCCCAGGGACGAAGAUGACGGUACCUGGGGAGGAAGCUCCGGCUAACUACGUGCCAGCAGCCGCGGUAAUACGUAGGGAGCGAGCGUUGUCCGGAAUUACUGGGUGUAAAGGGAGCGUAGGCGGGACUGCAAGUUGGGUGUCAAAUCUACCGGCUCAACCGGUAGCCGCGCUCAAAACUGCAGUUCUUGAGUGAAGUAGAGGCAGGCGGAAUUCCUAGUGUAGCGGUGAAAGGCGUAGAUAUUAGGAGGAACACCAGUGGCGAAGGCGGCCUGCUGGGCUUUUACUGACGCUGAGGCUCGAAAGUGUGGGGAGCAAACAGGAUUAGAUACCCUUGUAGUC